CUAGCAUAUCAAUAAGCGGAGGAAAAGAAACCAACAGGGAUUGCCCCAGUAACGGCGAGUGAAGCGGCAACAGCUCAAAUUUGAAAUCUGGCUCUCGGGCCCGAGUUGUAAUUUGUAGAGGAUGCUUUUGGUGAGGUGCCUUCCGAGUUCCCUGGAACGGGACGCCAUAGAGGGUGAGAGCCCCGUCUGGUUGGACACCGAUCCUCUGUAAAGCUCCUUCGACGAGUCGAGUAGUUUGGGAAUGCUGCUCUAAAUGGGAGGUAUAUGUCUUCUAAAGCUAAAUACCGGCCAGAGACCGAUAGCGCACAAGUAGAGUGAUCGAAAGAUGAAAAGAACUUUGAAAAGAGAGUUAAAAAGUACGUGAAAUUGUUGAAAGGGAAGCGCUUGUGACCAGACUUGGGCUUGGUUGAUCAUCCGGGGUUCUCCCCGGUGCACUCUUCCGGCUCAGGCCAGCAUCAGUUCGCCCUGGGGGAUAAAGGCUUCGGGAAUGUGGCUCUCUCCGGGGAGUGUUAUAGCCCGCUGCGUAAUACCCUGUGGCGGACUGAGGUUCGCGCAUUCGCAAGGAUGCUGGCGUAAUGGUCAUCAGUGACCCGUCUUGAAACACGGACCAAGGAGUCGUCUUCGUAUGCGAGUGUUCGGGUGUCAAACCCCUACGCGAAAUGAAAGUGAACGCAGGUGAGAGCUUCGGCGCAUCAUCGACCGAUCCUGAUGUUAUCGGAUGGAUUUGAGUAAGAGCAUACGGGGCCGGACCCGAAAGAAGGUGAACUAUGCCUGUGUAGGGUGAAGCCAGAGGAAACUCUGGUGGAGGCUCGCAGCGGUUCUGACGUGCAAAUCGAUCGUCAAACAUGGGCAUGGGGGCGAAAGACUAAUCGAACCUUCUAGUAGCUGGGUUUCCGCCGAA
rnacentral:rRNA from 1 species